rnacentral:rRNA from 1 species
CCUACGGGAGGCAGCAGUAGGGAAUCUUCCACAAUGGGCGAAAGCCUGAUGGAGCAACGCCGCGUGGGUGAAGAAGGUCUUCGGAUCGUAAAACACUGUUGUUAGAGAAGAAAGUGCGUGAGAGUAACUGUUCACGUUUCGACGGUAUCUACCCAGAAAGCCACGGCUAACUACGUGCCAGCAGCCGCGGUAAUACGUAGGGGGCAAGCGUUAUCCGGAAUUAUUGGGCGUAAAGGGAACGCAGGCGGUCUUUUGAGUCUGAUGUGAAAGCCUUCGGCUUAACCGGAGUAGUGCAUUGGAAACUGGGCGACUUGAGUGCAGAAGAGGAGAGUAGAACUCCAUGUGUAGCGGUGAAAUGCGUAGAGAUAUGGAAGAACACCAGUGGCGAAAGCGGCUCUCUGGUCUGUAACUGACGCUGAGGUGCGAAAGCGUGGGUAGCAAACAGGAUUAGAUACCCGAGUAGUC